GGAAAUAUUGAGAGCAUCCUCAAAAAAAAUGCAUCAUCUACUGGCAUGACUUGUCCUUCUCCUGGUAGAGCUGCACCAGCUCCCAGAACCAUUGAGAACAUUUCCA